UACGAAGGGGGCGAGCGUUGUUCGGAUUUACUGGGCGUAAAGGGCGCGCAGGCGGCGCAUUUUGUCAGGCGUGAAAGCCCCGGGCUUAACCUGGGAACUGCGUUUGAAACUGGGAGACUUGAGUGUGGCAGAGGGGGGUGGAAUUCCACGUGUAGCAGUGAAAUGCGUAGAUAUGUGGAGGAACACCGAUGGCGAAGGCAGCCCCCUGGGUCAACACUGACGCUCAUGCACGAAAGCGUGGGGAGCAAACAGG
rnacentral:rRNA from 1 species